CCUACGGGGGGCAGCAGUAGGGAAUCUUGCACAAUGGGCGAAAGCCUGAUGGAGCAACGCCGCGUGGGUGAAGAAGGUCUUCGGAGCGUAAAACCCUGUUGGUAGAGAAGAAAGUGCGUGAGAGUAACUGUUCACGUGUAGACGGUAUAGAACAAGAAAGCGACGGCUAACUACGAGCCAGCAGCCGCGGUAAUACGUAGGGGGCAGGCGUUAUCCGGAUUGAGUGGGCGUAACGGGAACGCAGGCGGUCUGUUAAUUCGGAAUUGAAAGCCUUCGGCGGAACCGGCGUAGUGCAUUUGAAACUGGGGGUCUUGCGUGCAGGAGAGGCGUGUGGAACUCCCUGUGUAGCGGUGAAAUGCGUCGAUAUCUGGCAGCACCCCAGUGGCGAAGGCGGCUCUCUGGUCUUUAACUGACGCUGAGGUUCGAAAGCGUGGGUAUCAAACAGGAUUAGAUACCCUUGUAGUC
rnacentral:rRNA from 1 species